ensembl:lncRNA novel transcript
AAAAAAAAAAAAAAGUACUCAUAUCUCUUUUUCUGUAACUUUUAAAAUCCACUCCCAAAUACGUCUUGGGGGAACUUCCUAUGUCAGUAUAGCAUGGUAGUCCAUAACUGGAUUCUUCAAUAACAGUAAAUCUAGCUAUUUCCCCCAGCGGAAUGGGAAUUGUGUCCAACAUUUCAAACAUCUGGAAAAGUAUCAUCUAUACGCAGUGUAAUGUUUACAGCGAAUUCUGCCACUGCUCGCUGAUUUUAAACACAUUACCCUGUGUCUCAGUUUUUUAUUUGUAAAUGAUAUUUUACCACCUAAUUUACAGGGCUGUAGUGAGGAUUACAUCGAUUGACAUAUUUAUGGCAAGCUCUCAGAGAGUCUUGUACCUAAUACCAUUAUUUGCUCUGAUCCUUUAGUUUAGGCUCCUAGGAGACUUGAUUCUGGCUGACGUGCUGCGACUGUCAUCUUUCAGAUCAGAGUAACUCUGAGUCUGGUGGGAGUGUCUUCCCCCGACACCCCGUAUACCUCCGCUUUAAGAUGAGAGAAUCUUCUGUCGGUGCUAGCGUUCAGCGGCUAACGGAGGAGGCUUGACUCAACCUGCCGGACACUAAAGGACAUCACUCUGAGCCUGAGGGAGGGGCUCUCCUUUGGUCUCCCUCUUUUGUCCAGCCUUGCCCCAGGAUAUUUUUCUAAGCUGAGUUAGCCACUAGGCACUCCACAUCGCUGCCCGCAUCACCACGCUGCGGCAUCUGCUGUUGCAUCUGCGAUCCACAAGGCCUACACCAUUCGCCAUCGCACCUGGCUGUUUGUUGCA